UACGGAGGAUGCAAGCGUUAUCCGGAUUCAUUGGGUUUAAAGGGUGCGUAGGCGGUCUUUCAAGCCAGAAGUGAAAGGCUACGGCUCAACCGUAGUAAGCUUUUGGAACUGUAAGACUUGAGUGCAGGAGAGGAGAGUGGAAUUCCUAGUGUAGCGGUGAAAUGCGUAGAUAUUAGGAGGAACACCAGUAGCGAAGGCGGCUCUCUGGACUGUAACUGACGCUGAGGCACGAAAGCGUGGGGAGCAAACAGGAUUAGAUACCCCUGUAGU
rnacentral:rRNA from 1 species